GUCCUUUAGAAUUUAUUAUUUAAGGUCUAGCCUGCCCACUGAAAUAUUUUAAAUGGCCGCAGUAAAUUGACUGUGCAAAGGUAGCAUAAUCAUUAGUUUUUUAAUUAAAAGCUUGAAUGAAUGGUUUGACGAAAUAAAAUCUGUCUCUAAAUAAUAGUAAGAAUUUAAUUUUUAAGUUAAAAAGCUUAAAUUAAAAUAAAAGACGAGAAGACCCUAUAGAUUUUUAUAUUAAAUUUAAUAAUUUUAUUUAGGAUUUUUUUUAUAAUUAUUAUUUUUAUUAUUAUAUUGGGGUAAUAGGAAGAUUAGUGAAAUUCUUUUUAAAUUGAAACAAUAAUAAUUGUUUAUUUGAUCCUUAAUUUAAGAUAAUAAGAUUAAGUUACCUUAGGGAUAACAGCGUAAUUUUUUUAAAGAGUUCAUAUCGAUAAAAAAGUUUGCGACCUCGAUGUUGGAUUAAAAAUUAUUCCAGGUGUAGAAGUUUGGAAAUUUUGGUCUGUUCGACCAUUAAAUUUUU
rnacentral:rRNA from 1 species